rnacentral:rRNA from 1 species
AGUGAACGCUGGCGGCAGGCCUAACACAUGCAAGUCGAGCGGCAGCGCGGGGGCAACCCUGGCGGCGAGCGGCGGACGGGUGAGGAAUUCGUCGGAAUCUGCCUUUUUGUGGGGAUAACGUAGGGAAACUUACGCUAAUACCGCAUACGUCCUACGGGAGAAAGUGGGGGACCGCAAGGCCUCACGCAGAAAGAUGAGCCGACGACCGAUUAGCUAGUUGGUGGGGUAAAGGCCCACCAAGGCGACGAUCGGUAGCUGGUCUGAGAGGAUGAUCAGCCACACUGGGACUGAGACACGGCCCAGACUCCUACGGGAGGCAGCAGUGGGGAAUAUUGGACAAUGGGCGCAAGCCUGAUCCAGCCAUGCCGCGUGUGUGAAGAAGGCCUUCGGGUUGUAAAGCACUUUUGUCCGGAAAGAAAUCCCUGGAGCUAAUACCUUCGGGGGAUGACGGUACCGGAAGAAUAAGCACCGGCUAACUUCGUG